UACGUAGGGGGCAAGCGUUGUCCGGAAUCAUUGGGCGUAAAGCGCGCGUAGGCGGCCCUGUAAGUCCGCUGUAAAAGUCAAAGGCUCAGCCUUUGAAAGCCGGUGGAUACUGCAGGGCUAGAGUCCGGAAGAGGCGAGUGGAAUUCCUGGUGUAGCAGUGAAAUGCGUAGAUAUCGAGAGGAACACCAGUGGCGAAGGCGAGUCCCUGGACACUUCCUGACACUGAGGCACGAAAGCUAGGGGAGCAAACAGG
rnacentral:rRNA from 1 species